UACGUAGGUGGCAAGCGUUGUCCGGAUUUACUGGGUGUAAAGGGCGUGUAGCCGGGCUGACAAGUCAGAUGUGAAAUUCCGGGGCUCAACCCCGGACCUGCAUUUGAAACUGUUGGUCUUGAGUAUCGGAGAGGCAGGCGGAAUUCCUAGUGUAGCGGUGAAAUGCGUAGAUAUUAGGAGGAACACCAGUGGCGAAGGCGGCCUGCUGGACGACAACUGACGGUGAGACGCGAAAGCGUGGGGAGCGAACAGG
rnacentral:rRNA from 1 species